rnacentral:rRNA from 1 species
GAGAAGCUUGCUUCUCUGAUGGUUAGCGGCGGACGGGUGAGUAACACGUAGGCAACCUGCCCUCAAGCUUGGGACAACUACCGGAAACGGUAGCUAAUACCGAAUAGUUGUUUUCUUCUCCUGAAGAGAACUGGAAAGACGGAGCAAUCUGUCACUUGGGGAUGGGCCUGCGGCGCAUUAGCUAGUUGGUGGGGUAACGGCUCACCAAGGCGACGAUGCGUAGCCGACCUGAGAGGGUGAUCGGCCACACUGGGACUGAGACACGGCCCAGACUCCUACGGGAGGCAGCAGUAGGGAAUCUUCCGCAAUGGGCGAAAGCCUGACGGAGCAAUGCCGCGUGAGUGAUGAAGGUUUUCGGAUCGUAAAGCUCUGUUGCCAGGGAAGAACGCUUGGGAGAGUAACUGCUCUCAAGGUGACGGUACCUGAGAAGAAAGCCCCGGCUAACUACGUGCCAGCAGCCGCGGUAAUACGUAGGGGGCAAGCGUUGUCCGGAAUUAUUGGGCGUAAAGCGCGCGCAGGCGGUCAUUUAAGUCUGGUGUUUAAUCCCGGGGCUCAACCCCGGAUCGCACUGGAAACUGGGUGACUUGAGUGCAGAAGAGGAGAGUGGAAUUCCACGUGUAGCGGUGAAAUGCGUAGAUAUGUGGAGGAACACCAGUGGCGAAGGCGACUCUCUGGGCUGUAACUGACGCUGAGG